UUGUUUUGAAACGACGAAGCCCGAACAGAUCAUGUGUAUUUGUUUUUACAGGAUGGGAAAUGUUGCUCAAGAGAUCUGUUUAAGCUGCUGUUUGAUACAUUUUAGUCAUUAGUCUGUAAUCGAAAGGCCAUGCACUCGGUUAGAUAUAUGCAGCGGGUGAGUUUAGACUUCACAGGAACUAUCUUUCCUCACGCCAUCUGUCUUGGAGAUGCAGAUAACAACUCAGUAAGUUCCAAGUACACUAGUAUGAAGCUAUACAUCUAUAAAAAUGAUGACUGACUGUAAACCCUGGAUCACGAGGACAUGUGUGGGCAUGUCCAGAAGGUCUCCCUGAAUUGAUGGUGUCUCAGCCCGGCUGUGGCUAUGCAGUUCUGCAGUGCUCAUGGACACAAGAGGGCGCUGCAGGACCUGGGGAUGAAAACACAGCAACUCCAAGCAGGUUUUAAGGAUGAUUCGUCUAAAGGUGGCUUGUUUGCUCUUUGCACACUAGAUGGUGAGUCCAGAUAUUAGUCCACCAGCACAUGUCAGAGGUUAUCUGAUGUAAGGAGAACACGAGCCAGGUGUGACAGACCAAAACAACACUCUUUGUUUUUCCAUUCUUUUUUUGGGGGGUCAGUCUGGGCUCAGGUGUGUAUGAAGAUUGGCAUUUUUACUCUAAAAGUCUAUGCUUGUUCUUCACGGCCACAACCCUAGUGUUUUUUUUGUUUGGACAGCAGUGGAUUGAUGUUAUUGAUUGGUUAGCUGUUGUUGUUUUUCAUCAGCUUUUGUGGUUGUUUUUCUGUUGAAUGGUGGUGUUUCAGGAACGCUGAAGCUCAUGGACAGCUCUGAGAAGCUCUUGUGGUCUGUGCAAGUGAACCACCAGCUUUUUUUGUCACUGUUAGUGUGAUUA